ensembl:lncRNA
CGUGUUCACAAUGCUUUACAUCAAGCUUAUACUCAUUAACAAACCAAAACCAUCACAGAACGGUAUAUAACGUGACCACAUCCGAGCUAAGAGUUAUUGGUGCUUCACCUCCAAUAAAUAAUAGACAAACUUUGAGAUAUUAUGAACAACAUAAAUUAACUCUUUAUUUUUCCUCUCAUUCCCCAAAAGUGUACUGCUAUUUCGGAACAUUUUCCACGUCAAUCUGGGAGAGCACUUUAAUGCGUUUGGGCAUGGCCACAAUAAUCUCCACCCCCCCCAUCCUUCUCUUCCCCUGGUUGGUGGGUACUGUCUGGGUGCUAGGGUCCUUUUGAGCCAUCAUGGUCUCACUCUGAGCCUGCAGAAUGUCCAGUUUUUGCUUGAGCUCCUGUAGGAAGUCAGUGUCCUUGAUGUGGCCCACGUUGUCCAUUAUUGACGUGAGUUUGGCCACACACUCCCUCUGCAGUUCUCCUCUCUCCUGUGGACCCAGCGAGGCCUGUGGAAGCUGUUGAAGCUGUGAAGUUUGAGGAGGCAGUGUUUCUUCAGGCCCCUCCCAUUCACAGCAGGAGCCUGGGAAAGCAGGGGAGAGAUGCAACAGGCCAUCGAGGGAUUCCUCCAUCUCCUCCUUUGUGGUGGUGAUGUCUUCUGUGUGUAAAAGCAGCUUGAGCAGUGGGUGGUCCCUAUAUUUGGGACAUAGGUGCUCCCAGGUCCAGCUGGGCUCAGACUUGAAGACGUGACAGAAGUGUUUGCAGGGCAGGCGCUGGUUCCCCCACGCCCGACACUCACAGCCGGGCCAGGCGGACUCUGACCCGAAGCUGACCACGUAGGACUCCCCUGACGCGGCCUGGUUCCGGCUCUUCACCCUGAAGGUGCCGGCGUCGGUGGCCUGUUCCACCAUGACGUCGGAGUCAUGCUCGGCAGCGGACAUGCUGUCCAUCACAUGGGCCACAACGCUCCAGGGACGGUCCCACAGGAAGGGAGGCACGGCGGGGUCCGAGCUAUAAUCCCUGCAGGACUGGCUGUUGAGGUCCAUGUACCUGGAGGUUCAGGGAGGACCGGAAGUUCUUAGAAACUUUCACGAGUCGAGUAGGUUACAGACAAAGUCAGCUACUUCGAAGGCUCUGACCGCAUUUACCGACUUCUACCUCUCAAUUCUGUGUCCAGAAUUAAAAGAACACAGCGCCACUUUGGGGUUGUGCUAUUACAGCUUACAACCCACUUCAUAAAAGGGCAGUUGAUGGCUGAGUGAAGAGAAACGGGUGGUGGAAGAAAACAAAGAGUUGCCAGCAUUGCAUUGUAUUUUAGGAGAUCACAAGGUAAACCAAAUACUAUUAAAAAUGUUAUAGAUUUAAACUGAAACCGUAAUCUCAAGUAUAUUCUACGUUUCAGUCAUUCAGCACACACACUUAUCCAGAGGAACUGAUACAUAUAAUGUAAUACUACAAAUGACAUAACUCCAAAUAAAUUUAACAGAUCAGCCUUGGAGGGAUGUACUACUAACUUUUCUCAGUCUCCAACAGUUUUAAAUUUUAGGAGGAGAUGAGGUCCUGGUCCACACCUGCGGAUUACCUGGUUUGGGGGGCCCGUUGCUGUCCCUGUCCUUGUCCACCUGGUCAUACUUCUGACCUAGUCUAAAAUCAAAUAGACUCUGGAUUUAGCCCAGAGAAAUGUAUUUAUUAUUCCAAUUGGACUCUUAAUAUCUCACCCGGCACAGCCAGAAGAGGACUGGUCACCCCUCUGAGCCUGGGUCCUCUCUAGGUUUCUUCCUAAAAUUCAACCUUCUUAGGGAGUUUUUCCUAGCCACUGAAAUUCAACACUACUGUUGUUUGCUCCUCGGGUGACUCUGUAAAGCACUUUGUGACAACUGCUGUUGUAAAAAGGGCUUUAUAAAUACAUUUGAUUGAUUGAGCCUUGCAAAUCUGGAAAUUAAACACGCUUAAUUUUUAUACAUUCUUAGAUGGACAACAACUCAACAGCAGCACUCACUUAUGAUGGCAAAUGCUAUUCUAAAAUGGUCAUACCUUUGGUGCAUCUGUGGGAAGUAGCUGUCAACAAUAAAUUGCAACAUUUGGCUCAGGGUGUCCUUUUUAUGGACCUUCAUGUCGUUGUGUGUAAAAAACUUGCUCUGCAUCUCCAGACCACCAUUCACCAUAGAGACAAAGUUGACAAUGUCAGCCCUCACGGCGUUCGCCCAUCUCUGAAUGAAAUACAAACAAACACAAGAGCAUGUUACUGACCACAAUGGUAUUCCACGGACAUAUAGCUAGAUGUUAUGAAUAUAUGGCAAGUAAAAAGGUACUUCAGCAAACUACUGGCAACAUUCAAUACACGUGACUCAGCCAUGUGGUCUGUUUUAGGAUUAAGGCACCCCUAAGCAACUGGUCUGGGAUCUGUUUUUCCUCUAACCACCCUGACCUCAGUUAAUACUGAGGUGAAGACAGAGCUGGUCCAGGCCGUUCCCCCAAUCGCCUCUUUGAUGUAAUUAAUUGGCAUGUGCACUACAAACCUUCUCCUCUGUCAGCCACUUAUUAGUGAACCAGUUCUUGAAGAGUUGUCUCUUCUCCUGCCAGAUGAGGCUCUGCUGUAGGCGUUCUACUGCCCCCAGGUGUUGCUCUUUGGUCAGGGCUUCGGCUAUGGACUUCAUCAUGGAGAAGAUCCCCUGUGGGUUUGCGAUCGCUCUGGAGCGAUUGCUCAGCCAUUUGGUCCAGGUUCUCUCCCGCAGAUGAUCGCUAAAGACGGCCUGAGCUCCUGAGAUUGGAAAGAGCAACAUCCAUUAUUAGCGGAC